AAAAAUUGGUUCCAGUAAAUUGAAUUUGAAAUGUGUCAUUUUUAUGUUUGCUGACAUUCCUGGGUCUACUAAUGGUUGUAUGUCAUUGGCAUUCUAGGCAAUGGAGUAGCCCAGAAAUCGCUUUGGACAGCUGGAGAAGUGUCGACCCCACAUUGCUUGCUCCACCCCAGCUCAAGAUCUAGGUCUCGUACAGUGCUGGGAGCAUGAUGGCAGUGCAGUUAGCAGCCAAGAUACAGCAUUACAAACCUCAGGAGGAGCAAAUUGAAUAUUCAUAUAGUCUGCACAGAGCAUCCUAGUUCAGAAUUCUCAACUGCUUCCCACACUGUACUGGGUUUCUAAAAUCCCACCACUUUGCCACCAAGAUCUUUGAACUCUCUAGCCAGUCCAGCAGUUUCUGCAGCACAGGUUUUGGCUUUGCAGUCAGUGAGCAGAAGCAAUCCCAAGUGACUGAGGAAGACCAGUCACCCACGCUGCAGAGUGCAAACUGGCCCGUCCUGCUGUGUUCAAACGGAACAGACCUUGAGCAAGCCACGACACACAAGUCUGUUAGCCAAAUGGAUCUCAGCCAGAGGGGCUAGAGGGAAUGAACCAAAUCCAAAGGUGGGGUAAGUGAGCCCAACUUCCACACCAGCUUUGAACUUCGCUAACAUGCAGAGGGGCUAGAAAUAGCCAGUUUGCUACUGAUCUGUGG
rnacentral:lncRNA from 1 species